UCAGAGUUGGUUUUCGCGUUAUUCGUAGUGAACCGCAGUCGCAAUUAGAACGAAAUUCGGCAUCGAAAGACGAGUUUAAUUCGGCGGAAUUAGGAGUGCGGAACCUGCUCUUCCCCGUUCGGGAAACUCCGGAAAUUUCAAGAGUUCGUCUGGACGUCUCGAAGGGGAGAACGGAAAAAAGAACCCAAAUGUGGAAGGAGGACCGGGUAUAGGGAUCGGGGUAUCGCCAACGUGGAUUUCAUUCAAGGAAGGAAUACAACGCGAGACCGCGAUGUUAUCUUGCAAAUUACUGUUACUAUGCAGCCCAUCGAUUAUUCCAACAUGAGCCGGUGGUUAUCACCAUCGAGAUUUCGCAGUAUAUUUGGUGGAAUAUAUUUUUUGUGAUAAAAAUUAAAAAAAAAA